rnacentral:piRNA from 1 species
AUCGUGCAUUACAUUAUAUUCCCCUAGC